rnacentral:rRNA from 1 species
AAUCAACGCUGGCGGCGUGCCUCAGACAUGCAAGUCGAACGGCAGCAUGAGUGAGGGUAACCUUACUUGAUGGCGAGUGGCGGACGGGUGAGUAAUAUGUAGGAAUCUACCUAGAGGUGCGGGAUAACUUAGGGAAACUUAAGCUAAUACCACAUAAUCCCUAAAGGGGGAAAGCAGGGGCUCGCAAGACCUUGCGCCUUAUGAUGAGCCUACAUCGGAUUAGCAGUUGGUGGGGUAAAGGCCUACCAAGGCGACGAUCCGUAGCUGGUCUGAGAGGAUGAUCAGCCACACUGGGACUGAGACACGGCCCAGACUCCUACGGGAGGCAGCAGUGGGGAAUAUUGGACAAUGGGGGCAACCCUGAUCCAGCAAUGCCGCGUGUGUGAAGAAGGCCUUAGGGUUGUAAAGCAC